rnacentral:lncRNA from 1 species
AGCUUCAGAGGAGAGAGCUCUCGUGUGGCCAGCUCAUAUGAUUCUACAGCAUCCACACUAUAGGAUAAAUUCUAAUACUUUAGAAAUUCUCUAUUAGGUUAUUUUAUCUUUUAUUAUCUAAUAUAAUAUUCUUUAUAAAUUUUUGCUACUCUCAACUUUGAACGAUAUGAGGUCACCAUUGAUCCAGCAGUCACAUAGAGCAGUGGUUAGCUCUCAGCUUUAGCACC